rnacentral:rRNA from 1 species
GUAGUCAGAGCGAACAGACGAGGAGCUUGCUCCAUUUGACGUUAGCGGCGGACGGGUGAGUAACACGUGGGUAACCUACCUAUAAGACUGGGAUAACUUCGGGAAACCGGAGCUAAUACCGGAUAAUAUUUCGAACCGCAUGGUUCGAUAGUGAAAGAUGGCUCUGCUAUCACUUAUAGAUGGACCUGCGCCGUAUUAGCUAGUUGGUAAG